AGUUUUAGUAGUUUACAAAAAAAUGUUGGUCUUGUAAACCAAAGAAGAAGAUCACCCUUCUUAAAAC
rnacentral:tRNA from 1 species